rnacentral:rRNA from 1 species
AUGAACGCUAGCGACAGGCUUAACACAUGCAAGUCGAGGGGCAGCACAGGUAGCAAUACCGGGUGGCGACCGGCGCACGGGUGAGUAACGCGUAUGCAACUUACCUAUCAGAGGGGGAUAACCCGGCGAAAGUCGGACUAAUACCGCAUGAAGCAGGGGCCCCGCAUGGGGAUAUUUGCUGAAGAUUCAUCGCUGAUAGAUAGGCAUGCGUUCCAUUAGGCAGUUGGCGGGGUAACGGCCCACCAAGCCGACGAUGGAUAGGGGUUCUGAGAGGAAGGUCCCCCACAUUGGUACUGAGACACGGACCAAACUCCUACGGGAGGCAGCAGUGAGGAAUAUUGGUCAAUGGCCGAGAGGCUGAACCAGCCAAGUCGCGUGAGGGAUGAAGGUUCUAUGGAUCGUAAACCUCUUUUAUAAGGGAAUAAAGUGCGGGACGUGUCCCGUUUUGUAUGUACCUUAUGAAUAAGGAUCGGCUAACUCCGUGCCAGCAGCCGCGGUAAUACGGAGGAUCCGAGCGUUAUCCGGAUUUAUUGGGUUUAAAGGGUGCGUAGGCGGCCUUUUAAGUCAGCGGUGAAAGUCUGUGGCUCAACCAUAGAAUUGCCGUUGAAACUGGGGGGCUUGAGUAUGUUUGAGGCAGGCGGAAUGCGUGGUGUAGCGGUGAAAUGCAUAGAUAUCACGCAGAACCCCGAUUGCGAAGGCAGCCUGCCAAGCCAUGACUGACGCUGAUGCACGAAAGCGUGGGGAUCAAACAGGAUUAGAUACCCUGGUAGUCCACGCAGUAAACGAUGAUCACUAGCUGUUUGCGAUACACUGUAAGCGGCACAGCGAAAGCGUUAAGUGAUCCACCUGGGGAGUACGCCGGCAACGGUGAAACUCAAAGGAAUUGACGGGGGCCCGCACAAGCGGAGGAACAUGUGGUUUAAUUCGAUGAUACGCGAGGAACCUUACCCGGGUUUGAACGCAUUCGGACCGAGGUGGAAACACCUUUUCUAGCAAUAGCCGUUUGCGAGGUGCUGCAUGGUUGUCGUCAGCUCGUGCCGUGAGGUGUCGGCUUAAGUGCCAUAACGAGCGCAACCCUUGCCACUAGUUACUAACAGGUAAAGCUGAGGACUCUGGUGGGACUGCCAGCGUAAGCUGCGAGGAAGGCGGGGAUGACGUCAAAUCAGCACGGCCCUUACAUCCGGGGCGACACACGUGUUACAAUGGCGUGGACAAAGGGAAGCCACCUGGCGACAGGGAGCGAAUCCCCAAACCACGUCUCAGUUCGGAUCGGAGUCUGCAACCCGACUCCGUGAAGCUGGAUUCGCUAGUAAUCGCGCAUCAGCCAUGGCGCGGUGAAUACGUUCCCGGGCCUUGUACACACCGCCCGUCAAGCCAUGGGAGCCGGGGGUACCUGAAGUCCGUAACCGCGAGGAUCGGCCUAGGGUAAAACUGGUGACUGGGGCU